rnacentral:rRNA from 1 species
UACGUAGGGGGCAAGCGUUGUCCGGAAUUAUUGGGCGUAAAGAGCGCGUAGGCGGUCCGAUAAGUCGGCUGUGAAAGUCUAGGGCUCAACCCUGGAAAGCCGGCCGAUACUGUCGGACUAGAGUCCGGAAGAGGCGAGUGGAAUUCCCGGUGUAGCGGUGAAAUGCGCAGAUAUCAGGAGGAACACCGGUGGCGAAGGCGGAUCUCUGGGCCGAUACUGACGCUGAGGAGCGAAAGCGUGGGGAGCGAACAGG